GCCGCGGUAGCUCAGUGUUAGAGCCCCCACUUCGCAUGCGGGGGGACCUGGGUCCGAUUCCCGGCUGCUUCC
rfam:Toxocara canis scaffold150, whole genome shotgun sequence.